rnacentral:rRNA from 1 species
UACGGAGGGUGCAAGCGUUAAUCGGAAUUACUGGGCGUAAAGCGCAUGCAGGUGGCUGAGUCAGUCGAUUGUGAAAGCCCUGGGCUUAACCUGGGAAUUGCAGUCGAUACUACUCAGCUAGAGUAUGGGAGAGGGCAGUGGAAUUCCCGGUGUAGCGGUGAAAUGCGUAGAUAUCGGGAGGAACAUCAGUGGCGAAGGCGGCUGCCUGGCCCAAUACUGACACUCAGGUGCGACAGCGUGGGGAGCAAACAGG